CCCUUAGAUGUUCUGGGCCGCACGCGCGCUACACUGACGAUGGCAACGAGUUUUUCCUUCGCCGAAAGGUGUGGGUAAUCUUUUGAAACAUCGUCGUGCUGGGGAUAGAUCAUUGCAAUUUUUGAUCUUGAACGAGGAAUUCCUAGUAAGCGCGAGUCAUCAGCUCGCGUUGAUUACGUCCCUGCCCUUUGUACACACCGCCCGUCGCUACUACCGAUUGAAUGGUUUAGUGAGGACUCCUGAUUGGCGCCGCCGCCCCGGCAACGGAGCAGCGGACUGCCGAAAAGUUGUUCAAACUUGAUCAUAUAGAGGAAGUAAAAGUCGUAACA
rnacentral:rRNA from 1 species